AUCGACCAGACCAUCAAAAAAUCUAUUAAGAAAGACAUAGACGUCUCCGUGCAGGCGCCGUCCGUCUACGUCUUCCCCCCGCCGGCUGAGGAGUUGGCGCGUCAGGAAAUGGCCACCUUGACCUGUUUGGCGUUGGGUUUCCGUCCUCGGGACAUCUUGGUGACCUGGACCCAAGAAGACCGUCCGGUUGCUGCCAGCAGCUACUCCACCUUCGGUCCGCAGCAAGACGGGAACACCUUCACGGUCUACAGCAAGUUGAGCGUGCCGGCGGCCGAUUGGCAACGGGGCGACUACUUCUCCUGCGUGGUGGGCCACGACGGCUUCGCCAUGAAGUUCGUGCAGAAGACCUUGGACAAGAGCAUCGGUAAACCCAACAAC